rnacentral:rRNA from 1 species
GAUACCCCACUAUUAACCCAACCCUCUCUAGCCAACCAGUCUAUAUACCGCCAUCGCCAACUUACCUUGUAAGAGAAACGGAGUAAGCGCAACAGCCACCACUAACACGAUAGGUCGAGGUGUAACAAAUGAGGGGGGAAAAGAUGGGCUACAUUUUCUAACACAGAAAACACGAACAGACUAUGAAAAUAGAAACCGAAGGCGGAUUUAGCAGUACAUUAAGAACAAAAUGCUUAACCGAAACAAACGCAAUGAAGUGCGUACACACCGCCCGUCAUCCCUGCAAAGAACUAAACCACUAUUUAUAAAAACAUAAAACACCUUAAACAGGGCAAGUCAUAACA